rfam:Schistosoma rodhaini strain Burundi genome assembly, scaffold: SROB_scaffold0003174
AUCCAUCUGACGAGUCCCAAGUAGGACGAAACGCGCGUCCUGGAU